rnacentral:rRNA from 1 species
AACGAACGCUGGCGGCGUGGAUAAGACAUGCAAGUCGAACGCUAAUUUCAGGGUAGCAAUAUUCUGAAGUUGGAGUGGCGCAAGGGUGCGUAACACGUGGGUAAUUUGCCAUGAAGCUCGGAAUAACUCGCUGAAAGGCGAGCUAAUGCCGGAUGUGAUGUUUGGGGGGCAUCUCCUAAACCUUAAAGCUGGGGACCGUAAGGCCUGGCACUUCAUGAUAAGCCCGCGGCCUAUCAGCUAGUUGGUGAGGUAAUGGCUCACCAAGGCUAAGACGGGUAGCUGGUCUGAGAGGACGACCAGCCACACUGGAACUGAGACACGGUCCAGACACCUACGGGUGGCAGCAGUCGAGAAUUUUUCACAAUGGGCGAAAGCCUGAUGGAGCGACGCCGCGUGGGGGAUGAAUGGCUUCGGCCCGUAAACCCCUGUCAUUUGCGAACAAACCUCGUAAUUUAAAAGAUGACGAGCUGAUUGUAGCGAAAGAGGAAGGGACGGCU